UACGUAGGGUGCAAGCGUUAAUCGGAAUUACUGGGCGUAAAGCGUGCGCAGGCGGUUAUAUAAGACAGAUGUGAAAUCCCCGGGCUCAACCUGGGAACUGCAUUUGUGACUGUAUAGCUAGAGUACGGGAGAGGGGGAUGGAAUUCCGCGUGUAGCAGUGAAAUGCGUAGAUAUGCGGAGGAACACCGAUGGCGAAGGCAAUCCCCUGGACCUGUACUGACGCUCAUGCACGAAAGCGUGGGGAGCAAACAGG
rnacentral:rRNA from 1 species